UCUAUUAAAAAAAAAAAAUUAAAAAUAACUAAAUAAAUAAACUCAUCCUCUCUUCUCCCUACCCCCAGUCUUCCUCAGGCACCAGUCUACGUUUCUAGUAAAAACUUGCUUGGCCACUUGUGUAGAAAGAGGAAUUAAUUUAAUAUUUGAAUACUCAGCUGACUGGUUCUCCAUGGGAGCAAGUAGCCAAGUAAAUAUCCAAGAGAGAACGAGGGAAGGGACAAAAUGGCACCAAGCCUGAAUUGUGAAGUCCUCUAUCAUCCUGCAACACCCUGGAUAUGCAAACCGAAUAUCCUCUCUCUUGCCCAAGAGUGGAUUGGCAGGAAGGGUGCAGGACCUAACCCAAUGACAAUGCUCGCAGGAGGAGCCCUCCAGAAGGCAACAGCUCCAAACCUCUUGGUACAAAGGAACUCUCUACGUUUAGUUCUCUCGACAACUACCUACUAUAAGAUGAAGUUUCCAGGAACUCAUGUGAUCAUGAGACUCUGCAGUCACUUCAGGGGGUCUUGUUGACUGGCUCGGGGGGCUGGUGUCAAGCCCAAGCAGAAGAGCCCUCAGAGCAAGCAGCCCUGCUUCUGUGGAUGCUGGAUGGCAUCAUCACCAGGCGGGUCCUUCAGAGUACUGGGAGCAGCAUGCAGCCCGAUAGAGUUGGCAAACGUGAAUCUACUAGAAGAUUGACAUGGAGAUCGACAACAGGAUGGUGGACCUCAUGGCCCACACGGCCUCUAAGGAAUAAGACCCCCAGACCACUAGCCCCAGCAAAAACACAAGAGGAAGAGAGAGGCCCUCAGCUGCUGGGGACAACUUAUCCACAUUCAUGGCAAUGUACUGAAGAAAUAUAUAUUGAGCACCAACUAUGAACCAGGCACCAGGACACACCAAGAACACAUUGUUCAUGAUGCAGAGAAGAAACACUUGCAUAACAACUAUAUAUUGUGGUAACUGUUCUACUAAAGAUUAAUGUGAAUUACCAGGAAAGCAGAAAGAAGGGAAUGACACGUCUGAGAAGUCUUCAUAAAAGUACAUUGCUAAAGGAUGACCAAAAUGUUCAAAGGUGAAAAUGACAAUUUCAGGCAAAGAGAACAAUUGAUGCAAAGGCAUGUAAUUACGACACAGCAUAGCAUGUCUAGAAAAGGACAAGAAGUUUGGUGUGGAGCAAUUAGGGGAGUGCAAGGAGAUGCAAAGAUACACAGCUGGAGAUAAAGUGGGUGCUGUGGAAAGUCUUCUAAGCCCUGCUAAUGAGUUUCAAAUUUAUUCACUAUGCAUUGAAAGCCAUUGAAAGGGGUUAAGCAAGAAAGAGACA
rnacentral:lncRNA from 1 species